UACAGAGGUCUCAAGCGUUGUUCGGAUUCAUUGGGCGUAAAGGGUGCGUAGGUGGCGCUGUAAGUCAGGUGUGAAAUUUCGGAGCUCAACUUCGAAACUGCAUUUGAUACUGCGGUGCUUGAGGACUGGAGAGGAGACUGGAAUUUACGGUGUAGCAGUGAGAUGCGUAGAGAUCGUAAGGAAGACCAGUGGCGAAGGCGGGUCUCUGGGCCGAUACUGACGCUGAGGAGCGAAAGCGUGGGGAGCGAACAGG
rnacentral:rRNA from 1 species